AUGCACUCGGAGAGGAUUUGUGCCAAUGCUUACCGUCAUUUCAUGCAUUCACAGGCUGCGAUUCUACGAGUGCCUUUACGGGAAAAGGGAAAGGGAAACCUUGGAAGGUACUUCAUGAUAACCCUGAGUUUAUCGAAACAUUUAAAUUACUUGGUUCGACAUCUGAUCUUCCUGAGGAAGUAGUGCUUUCUUUAAAUAAAUUUGUAUGUCUUCUUUAUGGCGAUAAGAGUUCAGCGCGUGUUAAUGCUUCAAGGUACACUCUCUUUGUAUCUGGCAAGUGUUCGGACGAAUGCCUUCCCCCGAAU